GACGAACGCUGGCGGCGUGCUUAACACAUGCAAGUCGAACGGAAAGGCCCUGCUUUUGUGGGGUGCUCGAGUGGCGAACGGGUGAGUAACACGUGAGUAACCUGCCCUUGACUUUGGGAUAACUUCAGGAAACUGGGGCUAAUACCGGAUAGGAGCUCCUGCUGCAUGGUGGGGGUUGGAAAGUUUCGGCGGUUGGGGAUGGACUCGCGGCUUAUCAGCUUGUUGGUGGGGUAGUGGCUUACCAAGGCUUUGACGGGUAGCCGGCCUGGGAGGGUGACCGGCCACAUGGGUACUGGGAUACGGCCCAGACUCCUACGGGAGGCAGCAGUGGGGAAUAUUGCACAAUGGGCGGAAGCCUGAUGCAGCAACGCCGCGUGCGGGAUGACGGCCUUCGGGUUGUAAACCGCUUUCGCCUGUGACGAAGCGUGAGUGACGGUAAUGGGUAAAGAAGCACCGGCUAACUACGUG
rnacentral:rRNA from 1 species